GACGAACGCUGGCGGCGUGCUUAACACAUGCAAGUCGAACGGAAAGGCCCUGCUUUUGUGGGGUGCUCGAGUGGCGAACGGGUGAGUAACACGUGAGUAACCUGCUCUUGACUUUGGGAUAACUUCAGGAAACUGGGGCUAAUACCGGAUAGGAGCUCCUGCCGCAUGGUGGGGGUUGGAAAGUUUCGGCGGUUGGGGAUGGACUCGCGGCUUAUCAGCUUGUUGGUGGGGUAGUGGCUUACCAAGGCUUUGACGGGUAGCCGGCCUGAGAGGGUGACCGACCACAUUGGGACUGAGAUACGGCCCAGACUCCUACGGGAGGCAGCGGUGGGGAAUAUUGCACAAUGGGCGGAAGCCUGAUGCAGCAACGCCGCGUGCGGGAUGACGGCCUUCGGGUUGUAAACCGCUUUCGCCUGUGACGAAGCGUGAGUGACGGUAAUGGGUAAAGAAGCACCGGCUAACUACGUG
rnacentral:rRNA from 1 species